UCAUAAGCGGAGGAAAAGAAACUAACAAGGAUUCCCCCAGUAACGGCGAGCGAAGCGGGAACAGCUCGAGCCUGAAAUCCCUGGCAGGUGCUGCCAGAGAAUUGUGGCCGGGAGAGGCGGCGGUGCCCGGACUGUUGCUGUCAAAGUUGACCUGGAAAGGCACGUCAGAGAGGGUGAGAGCCCCGUGCUUGACACCGACGGGAAGGGCCGCUACCGUCUUCGGAGAGUCGGGUUGUUUGGGAAUGCAGCCCAAAGUGGGUGGUAAACUCCAUCUAAAGCUAAAUACCGGCACGAGACCGAUAGCGAACAAGUACCAUGAGGGAAAGGUGAAAAGUACUUUGAAAAGAGAGUCAAAAAGACCGCGAAACCGUUAGGAGGGAAACGAAUGCAGCUGAAGUGGCUCCGUAUCAGGUUCAGGGGACGUCGGAGGACGUGUCGGCUUUCGGCAAGGUGUCGUCGGUCGGGACGGUCCUGCGACCAGUCUGCAGUCCUGUGGGGAGCCGGCCAACAGCAGUUGYCCCCAGCCCAGAAGGUCGGUCGGGAGGUGCCUCUGCACUCGUGCAGAGAACGUACAGCCGUUCGUCCGGCGGUCCGGGGACGACUGAGGAGAGUCGUGAAUUUUCACGCGUGCAGCGCAGGCCCUUGAGUGGGCCGGGUCGCCUCUGUUCGUUUGGGCCCCGCGGUGGGGACUGCUUGCAGUGUCUGCUGACGGUCAGUCCGCUCGGUCGGGGGGUCGGCCACGCCGUGCGCUCCGGUUGUUGGUGCUCAAAUGGCUGCAUCCGACCCGUCUUGAAACACGGACCAAGGAGUGCAACAUGCGUGCGAGUCUUGGGGUGACAAACCCGUCGGCGCAAUGAAAGUGAAGGCAGGCGUUGGUCUGCUUAGGCGAGAGCCUCCUCGGGGGCGCAUCGUCGACCGAUCCCAGGCUACGCUGUGGCGGGAUUUGAGUGAGAGCGUGCCUGUUGCGACCCGAAAGAUGGUGAACUAUGCCUGAAUAGGGUGAAGCCAGAGGAAACUCUGGUGGAAGCUCGUAGCGAUUCUGACGUGCAAAUCGAUCGUCAAAUUUGGGUAUAGGGGCGAAAGACUAAUCGAACCAUCUAGUAGCUGGUUCCCUCCGAAGUUUCCCUCAGGAUAGCUGGAGCCCGGUGCAGUUUUAUCAGGUAAAGCGAAUGAUUAGAGGUCUUGGGGUUGAAACAACCUCAACCUAUUCUCAAACUUUAAAUGGGUAAGAAGCUCGGCUUGCUUAAUUGAAGUCGGGCAUUGAAUGCCGGGGCUCUUAGUGGGCCAUUUUUGGUAAGCAGAACUGGCGAUGUGGGAUGAACCAAAUGCCGGGUUAAGGUGCCCGAAUCAACGCUCAUCAGAUCCCAUGAAAGGUGUUGGUUGAUCCAGACAGCAGGACGGUGGCCAUGGAAGUCGGAAUCCGCUAAGGAGUG
rnacentral:rRNA from 1 species